rnacentral:lncRNA from 1 species
AUGAAGUAUUUGUAGUAGUGCAUUCAUAACAUAAAUUAGAGAAUGGAAGAGAAAAUGAGUGUGCAAACAAAAUAUUUUAUAAAAUGAAGGGAGAAAUAAAAAAUAUCGUCAAAUAUCUAUCUUUAAAUUUUCCUCUGUAGCAAAAUAAAUUAAUAAAACUUUGGAAUGGAACAAAAAUGAAACAGAAAAGAAAAAAAAAGAGAAGAAGAAUGAGAUGUAAAAGAUAUACAAAGAACAAGAACGAAAAUAAAUGAAGAAAAAGAUAAAUUGUAAAAUAGUCUUUUUGGUCCCUUAAGUAUACCUCUGGGUCCAGUUUGGUCUCAUUCCUUUUAAAAGGACUAAUUUGAUCCUUUUAUCUAUUAAAAAGGUGUCACGUUUAUCCUUUAUGUUAUAUUCGUUAGUCAAAGUCAAAACUAAUUUCCAAAUGGCGCUGAAUUGGUAAUUAGAUGCUCAAGGGCUAUUAGCCAAAUGUCCUCUCUCAUUUCAUUUAGUCUUCUUCCUCUCACAACCCUUAAAUCAAACUGCAUUUUACAUUCACCAUGAACUAAAAAAGAAGCAAAAAAAUAACAUAGAACCAUAGAACCCAAAUUUUUGUUUUCCUUCACUUUCCACCACCAUAAUCACAUGACAAAUUGUACCCUCAAACCAUUAAUUAAAAGGGGGAACGAAAGGAAACUAAAUAGAAAGCAUCUUACAUUGGAUCUGCUACUUGCAAAACCUAUGUUUCCAGCGACUCAAGACCUUUGUGAGCAUCACCAUCACUGUCUCAAACCUUGCAACAACCUCAUAUUCAUCUCACCGCCAAUGUCAUGAGGGUCGUCUCUACAACUACUUCUCAUCAUCAAUGUCACGUUGGUCGUCGUCACUGCCACUGAUAUGCAGGUCGUCACUAUUCGGCCACCUGGCUUCAACAUUUUUUUUCUUGAAUCAUGUUCAUUAUUUGUUUCUUUAGGUACCAAUCUAUAAAUGUGAGAAUUAUUCUUAUCCAACUCAAAUUUGGAUGUGAUUUUUUAUGAUUUACUCAUGUUAUUU